CAAGAGUUCACAUCGACGGCGGUGUUUGGCACCUCGAUGUCGGCUCAUCACAUCCUGGGGCUGAAGCCGGUCCCAAGGGUAUGGCUGUUCGCCAUUUAAAGUGGUACGCGAGCUGGGUUUAGAACGUCGUGAGACAGUUCGGUCCCUAUCUGGUGUGGGCGUUGGAUGAUUGAGGGGAGCUGCUCCUAGUACGAGAGGACCGGAGUGAACGAACCUCUGGUGUUCCGGUUGUCAUGCCAAUGGCAUUGCCGGGUAGCUAUGUUCGGACAGGAUAACCGCUGAAAGCAUCUAAGCGGGAAGCCCCCUUCAAGAUGAGAUCUCUCUGAUACUUCGAGUAUCCUGUAGGGCCCUUGAAGACUACAAGGUUGAUAGGCAAGGUGUGGAAGCGUUGUGAGGCGUUGAGCUAACUUGUACUAAUUGCCCGUGAGGCUUGACU
rnacentral:rRNA from 12 species